rnacentral:lncRNA from 1 species
UUAGCUCUCAGAUAACUGAGACUAAACGAAAUCUUAAUCAAAUGGCACAAAAAAAUUGCAUGAAUCUUCACGCAAAAUGUUAUAAAUAUAGAAUUAAGUCUUAGUGGACUGAGAUUUAGCAACACUAAUAUGUAAUGUCUUCCACAAAUCCAACUUAUCUUUCCUUACAAGUACGUAUGUAGAGAGACAAAUGGAUCGAGUGGUUUGUCAAGAUAUAUGCAUACAAGUAUUUUCCUUUGUUGCGCGAAUUCAUAUAUUAUGUACACAAGUCAUCUAUACAUGUGCAUGCACAGCAUGGGUGGCUAGCCUGCCAAGUACGAUGCAGAAGCUGGUGACCACAUCCAUCGACCGGCGACGCAGCCGUCGAGGAUGGCGCGGCCGAUGCCAGCGUCGGCGUCCCCGUCGCCAUCCCCGCCGCUGAUAUCCCUACCAGAGGCUUCAUGCAGAGCGCGGAACUCGCUGGCGCGCAUCCGCACGGCGACCCGCUGGCCGGGCGCCGGCAGCGUCGUCGGCGCAAUCCAUGGGUACGGGUGCACCACCGCGCUCCUCGGCCUCGCCGCCAUGUCAUCCUUGGAUGCGCAGCUCCCCAUGUACGUACUAAUUAGCGUGCACUUCUUCACGGAGUCGAUCGAGCGGGCGAGUGGUGUAUGCACACACUUGUACCAGACGCACUCGCAUAUAUACGCGUGUUCUCGAUCGAGAUGAUGAAAGACUUGACGCCGGCCUCCAUUGCAUGUGCAGAAGCAACCGAAAGCGCAUGAACCCGUGGAGUUGGACAAGCGUCAAGAGAAUGGCUACGCUACGCGUGGCGUGGUCGAUCGAACGUACGUGUGGAGACGGCAAGAAACAC